rnacentral:lncRNA from 1 species
AAGGUGAAGCCGGGCGGCACGGAGAAGUAGGUGUCCUCCCUUUGGCCGAAGUUGAACUCGAUGGCGCAGUUCUUCACCAGGACGUGAGGGAACAGCGCCCGGCCGGCCAGCACGUCCUUGCGGACCCGGUACGCCACCCCCAGCCACUUCCCGUUCUUCAUGAAGGACAUCUCCACCUCCUCCCCGCACUCAAAGUCGACGAGGCAG